CAGACCAGAAAGCAAACCCUCACUGGAACCAAAUAAGCAGGCACUUUGAUCUUGGACUUCUCAGUCUCCAGAACUAUCAAAUCAGAUUGGACUGUGUACUCUGAGGAGCCACUGUUCCAGAAGUAACUCCAACUCUGUCUUCUGAAGACAAAGAACACCGUGAGUCAGCAUGUUCAGAUAGUUCUGUGGAACCAGUGUGGCACCUGCCAUAAAUUGCAACAGCCUCUGCCAAAUUCCUUGAAACAUACACAGGGCCAGGAACUCUUUCCAUUGCAUAUGGGAUGUCUUGAAGACACAGAGGAUUAAAUGAAUUUCCAGCCCUUCACUGAUGUUGUGGGGAAGACAUAUGAAAAGGUUCUAAAUUGCCCAGGCUGGCCUUGAAACUGCAGUCAUCCUGCCUCAGCUGGAUGGAUAGCUGGGAUUAUAGGCAUACACCACUACGCCCACCGAAAGUCCAAGUCUUCACAAUGGCCUAGGCUGUCAGAGCUUUUGCUAAGAGGGAACACACAACCAUACUGCUGCAAGUGAAAUCUGCAGU
rnacentral:lncRNA from 1 species